rnacentral:rRNA from 1 species
CGUGCUAAUACAUGCAAGUCGAACGAACCGCGACUAGGUGCUUGCACUUGGUCAAGGUGAGUGGCGAACGGGUGAGUAACACGUGGGUAACCUACCUCAUAGUGGGGGAUAACAGUCGGAAACGACUGCUAAUACCGCAUAGGACAUGGAAUCACAUGAUUCUGUGAGGAAAGGUGGCGCAAGCUAUCGCUAAGAGAUGGGCCCGCGGUGCAUUAGCUAGUUGGUAGGGUAACGGCCUACCAAGGCAAUGAUGCAUAGCCGACCUGAGAGGGUGAUCGGCCACAUUGGGACUGAGACACGGCCCAAACUCCUACGGGAGGCAGCAGUAGGGAAUCUUCCGCAAUGGACGCAAGUCUGACGGAGCAACGCCGCGUGAGUGAAGAAGGUCUUCGGAUCGUAAAGCUCUGUUGUUAGAGAAGAACAGCGCAUAGAGUAACUGUUAUGCGUAUGACGGUAUCUAACCAGAAAGCCACGGCUAACUACGUGCCAGCAGCCGCGGUAAUACGUAGGUGGCGAGCGUUGUCCGGAUUUAUUGGGCGUAAAGGGAGUGUAGGCGGUCUUUUAAGUCUGAUGUGAAAGCCCACGGCUCAACCGUGGAGGGUCAUUGGAAACUGGGAGACUUGAGUGCAGAAGAGGAGAGCGGAAUUCCAUGUGUAGCGGUGAAAUGCGUAGAUAUAUGGAGGAACACCAGUGGCGAAGGCGGCUCUCUGGUCUGUAACUGACGCUGAGGCUCGAAAGCGUGGGGAGCAAACAGGAUUAGAUACCCUGGUAGUCCACGCCGUAAACGAUGAGUGCUAAGUGUUGGAGGGGUUCCACCCUUCAGUGCUGGAGUUAACGCAAUAAGCACUCCGCCUGGGGA